GUAGCCAAGGGAGAAGGAGCCCUUCUAGAGCAAGUGAAAGGAUGAGGCCUGACUAAGUUCUGCUCCAGGUGUCUGUAAUGGGAUGAAGCUCAUAGACCACUAGGAGUGGAGGAAAACAUUGAUUAGCUAGAAGAGUGUUUUUCGAAGGAGCUCAGAUGAGUGGCUACAGUCCUGCUGCCUCCUUAACUGCAGAUAUCAUCUACAGCUAUCAUCAAUGGAACUAUAGUAAACAGAUUACAAAGAGUUUCAAGUCAUUUUGUCAAGGGACUAAAACAGUUUCUUUCAGGGUACUAAGAUUCAUAAUCAGAUAAAUCCGUUUAAGAGAAGCUGGGGAGAAAAAAAAACUCAAAAAAAUGCAGAUCUGUUGUUUCAAACUAAUGAAGAAAAAUGUCUUCACAAUUUUAAGCUUUUUCCUCCCUUGCUACUAGUUAAUGAUCUGUCAGAACUUUGACACUUACGCUGUGUUCUUUACUGAUGGGGGAAAAAAAAACCUUUUGUGUAAUAUAUGUGUAGCUUUUCAUAUGUUGGGUGAGGGUUGCUCAAAAGUACUGGAACAUGCACCAAUUUCUAAGCUGUGCCUGGCUUGCUCAAAGAAGCUUUAGUGGAGAGUUGCUCACACAUGCUAGGUUUGUAUAAACCCAUUUGUUCCUUCAGACUCACUCAUGAGAAAGAAAAUUAGGAUUUCCCAAAGCAGUUAAUCAUUUCAGUGCUGAGAAGACAAGCAUACUACACAUCAAUUGUGCCAAGACCACUAUUACAACCCUAUCCCACAAUGUUGUACAAAUGCAUAAGCAGACCGGGGGGGGCAGGCGGAUGACUAGGACUUCCCUUCUUUUUGGACCUCCAGAACAGAUAAUGUUCUAAAUGCUUCUAGCACUGCCCUGCCUGCUGCAAUGUAAAACCUUCCAAUCAGCUCCCUCACUUACCAAAUCUGGGUGCAUAAGAACUACUGGAUACUUCUGAAACUUUAGGCCUAAAAUUCUUGGUGUGGUAUUUGGCACACAGGAACUCUGAGGUCACUCCAUAUAUGGGAAGCUACUGAAAAGAUACAGAAGGGUAACAUUUCUUGAAGCAUCAAAGUGACUUAAGUCAACUAGACAGUUCUGCCCAAGUGACUCAGUCAUUCACCCAAAGUUAAAAUUGAGAAGAAGUGGAAGGAGCUUAUAGGAUGGAGACAGAAAUUAGAGCAGACAUCUAAAUGGAAGCAAAGGGCAAAUAAGUGUCAAGUAUUAGGUGGUUUAGGUUGUAGCCGUGUCGGUCUAA